GAUGAACGCUGGCGGCGUGCUUAAUACAUGCAAGUCGAACGGGAGACUAGAAAUAGUUUUUAGUGGCGAACGGGUGAGUAACGCGUUGGUGACCUGCCCCGAAGAGAGGGAUAACAGUUCGAAAGGACUGCUAAUACCGCAUAAUAUCUUGGUAGUUAGAGAGCCGAGAUGAAAAGGAGAAAUCCGCUUUGGGAGGGACCUGCGUCCCAUCAGCUAGUUGGUAGGGUAAAGGCCUACCAAGGCGAAGACGGGUAGGGGGCCUGAGAGGGUGACCCCCCACACUGGCACUGAAACACGGGCCAGACACCUACGGGUGGCUG
rnacentral:rRNA from 1 species